rnacentral:misc_RNA from 1 species
UUUCCGUAGGUGAACCUGCGGAAGGAUCAUUAGUGAUUUGGUCGAAAGACCUCUAUCCAUGUCCUCACACCUGUGAACUUGUCGAUCUCCUGGCACUCUGUGCUGGGGAUUGAACCUUUACAAACAUCAGUGUAAUGAACGUCUAAAUGUAUAACAUAAUAAAACUUUCAACAACGGAUCUCUUGGCUCUCGCAUCGAUGAAGAACGCAGC